AGGAGCAACAGCCCCAGUGGCGGGGCCGCUCUGGAAACCUGGAUUCAGCCCCCGCAGUAGCUCCGGAGCUCUCGGUCUGCAGGGCCUGGAGGCUCCGGGGCGGG
rnacentral:pre_miRNA from 1 species